GCUUUCGUGGCGUAGUGGUCAGCACGCUCGACGCGUAUUCGAGAGGUCCGCGGUUCGAGUCCCGGUGAAGACA
rnacentral:tRNA from 1 species